rnacentral:tRNA from 1 species
GCAGCUGUGGUGUAAUGGUGAAACAUGCCUCCCUCCCAAGGAGGCGAUUCGGGUUUUGAUUCCCGGCAGCUGCA